UACAGAGGUCUCAAGCGUUGUUCGGAUUCAUUGGGCGUAAAGGGUGCGUAGGCGGCGCGGUAAGUCGGGUGUGAAAUCUUGGAGCUUAACUCCGAAACUGCAUUCGAUACUGCCGUGCUUGAGGACUGGAGAGGAGACUGGAAUUUACGGUGUAGCGGUGAAAUGCGUAGAUAUCGUAAGGAAGACCAGUGGCGAAGGCGGGUCUCUGGGCCUUACCUGACGCUCAGGUGCGAAAGCUAGGGGAGCGAACAGG
rnacentral:rRNA from 1 species